rnacentral:rRNA from 1 species
CCUACGGGAUGCAGCAGUGAGGCAUAUUGGUCCAUGGGCUUACGCCUGAACCAGCCAAGUCGCGUGAGGGAAGACUGCCCUAUGGGUUGUAAACCUCUUUUUUCAGUGCUCAACGCCGGCUACGUGUAGCCGGACUGAGAGUACCUGAAGAAAAAUCAUCGGCUAACUCCGUGCCAGCAGCCGCGGUAAUACGGAGUAUGCGAGCGUUAUCCGGAUUUAUUGGGUUUAAAGGGUGCGUAGGCGGAAUGCCAAGUCAGCGGUAAAAUCGCGGGGCUCAACCUCGCUCCGCCGUUGAAACUGGCGUUCGUGAGUACAGUAGAGGUGGGCGGAAGUCGUGGUGUAGCGGUGAAAUGCUUAGAUAUCACGAAAAACUCCGAUUGCGAAGGCAGUUCACUGGACUGCAACUGACACUGAGGCUCGAAAGUGUGGGUAUCAAACAGGAUUAGAUACCCUGGUAGUC